rnacentral:rRNA from 1 species
AGAGUUUGAUCCUAGCUCAGAACGAACGCUAACGGUACCCUUAACACAUGCAAGUCGAACGGAAUUAUUUUAGCAAUAAGAUAGUUUAGUGGCAAACGGGUGAGUAACGCGUAGGAAUAUACCUUUUAGUGGAGGAUAAUACUGGGAAACUGGUUCUAAUACUCCAUAUCUAGGAGACUAGAAAGGAUAGUAGUAAUACUAUUUGCUAAUGGAGUAGCCUGCGUAAGAUAUUUGUAGUUGGUGAGGUAAUGGCUCACCAAGCUUUAAUCUUUAACUGGUCUGAGAGGACGGCCAGUCACACUGGAACUGAGACACGGUCCAGACUCCUACGGGAGGCAGCAGUGAGGAAUAUUGGACAAUGGAGGAAACUCUGAUCCAGGGAUACCGUGUGGGUGAUGAAGGUCUUUGGAUUGUAAAGCCCUGUCAGCUGAGAAGAUAAUGACGUUAUCAGCAAAGGAAGUGACGGCUAACUCUGUGCCAGCAGCCGCGGUAAUACAGAGGUCACAGGCGUUGUUCGGAAUUACUGGGUGUAAAGGGUGCGUAGGUUGUUUUAUAAGUCUGUUGUGAAAUCUCAAAGCUCAACUUUGAAAUUGCAAUAGAUACUAUAUUACUAGAGAUUAUGAGAGGUAAACGGAAUUCCUAAUUGAGGGGUAAAAUCCUUGGACAUUAGGAGGAACACCAGCAGCGAAGGCGGUUUACUGGUAUAAAUCUGACACUGAGGCACGAAAGCGUGGGUAGCAAACAGGAUUAGAUACCCUGGUAGUCCACGCCCUAAACUAUGAAGGUUAGACGUUGGAAACUUUGUUUUCAGGGUCGUAGCUAACGCGAUAAACCUUCCACCUGGGUAGUAAAGUCGCAAGACCGAAACCUAAAGGAAUUGACGGGAACCCGCACAAGCGGUGGAACAUGUGGUUUAAUUCGAAAGUACGCGCAAAACCUUACCAGCUCUUGACAUAACGGUUAUAGGACUAAGUAAUUAGUCCGUCAUUUAGUUGGACCGUUACAGGUGCUGCAUGGCCGUCGUCAGCUCGUGUCGUGAGAUGUUGGGUUAAGUCCCGCAACGAGCGCAACCCCCGCCAUUAGUUUGCUAACAGGUAAAGCUGAGAUCUCUAAUGGGACAGGUAACGGUGAGUUACAGGAAGGUGGGGAUGACGUCAGGUACUCAUGGCCCUUAUGGGCUGGGCUACACAUGUGUUACAAUGGUGAUCACAAAAAGCAGCAAGAUAGCAAUAUCAAGCAAAUCUCAAAAAAAUCAUCUUAGUUCGGAUUGGUCUCUGCAACUCGGGACCAUGAAGUUGGAAUCGCUAGUAAUCGUGGAUCAGCACGCCACGGUGAAUACGUUCUCGGGUUUUGUACACACCGCCCGUCGCGCCAUGGGAGUUGGUCUUAUUGGAAGUUUAUAAACCUAACCAGCAAUGGAAGGAAUAAACAAAGAUAAGGUCGAUGACUGGGGCUAAGUCGUAACAAGGUA